rnacentral:rRNA from 1 species
CCAAUAGCGUAUAUUAAAGUUGUUGCAGUUAAAAAGCUCGUAGUUGAAUUUCGGGACCAAUAUGUCGGUCGUACUUUGUACGUACUAUCAUCAUUGGUUUCUCCCUUCUGAAGAACCGCGAUGUCAUUAAUUUGGUGUCGUGGGGAAUCAGGACUGUUACUUUGAAAAAAUUAGAGUGUUUAAAGCAGGCUCGCGCUUGAAUACAUUAGCAUGGAAUAAU